AGUGAACGCUGGCGGUAGGCCUAACACAUGCAAGUCGAACGGCAGCACAGUAAGAGCUUGCUCUUACGGGUGGCGAGUGGCGGACGGGUGAGGAAUACAUCGGAAUCUACUUUUUCGUGGGGGAUAACGUAGGGAAACUUACGCUAAUACCGCAUACGACCUACGGGUGAAAGCAGGGGAUCUUCGGACCUUGCGCGAUUGAAUGAGCCGAUGUCGGAUUAGCUAGUUGGCGGGGUAAAGGCCCACCAAGGCGACGAUCCGUAGCUGGUCUGAGAGGAUGAUCAGCCACGCUGGAACUGAGACACGGUCCAGACUCCUACGGGAGGCAGCAGUGGGGAAUAUUGGACAAUGGGCGCAAGCCUGAUCCAGCCAUACCGCGUGGGUGAAGAAGGCCUGCGGGUUGUAAAGCCCUUUUGUUGGGAAAGAAAAGCAGCAGGUUAAUACCCCGCUGUUCUGACGGUACCCAAAGAAUAAGCACCGGCGAACUUCGG
rnacentral:rRNA from 1 species